rnacentral:pre_miRNA from 1 species
UGAGGUAGUAGAUUGUAUAGUUUUAGGGUCAUACCCGGUCUUGGAGAUAACUAUACAGUCUACUGUCUUUC